UGAAUACGAGAUGCUACGGCGUCGAAGCAGUCUAUGUCAUACUUCCAAGAAAAGCUCGCACUGUCAUAAACAAAUAAUGCCUGUACCAUAACCGACACAGGUGGGUAGGUAGAGUAUACUAAGGGGCGCGAGAUAACUCUCUCUAAGGAACUCGGCAAAAUGACUCCGUAACUUCGGGAGAAGGAGUGCCUUAUUUAUAAGGUUGCAAUAACAAGAUCCAAGCAACUGUUUAUCAAAAACACAGGUCUCCGCUAAGUCGUAAGACGAUGUAUGGGGGCUGACGCCUGCCCAGUGCCAGAAGGUUAAAGAAGUUGGUUAGCAUUCGCGAAGCUGAUAACUGAAGCCCUGGUGAACGGCGGCCGUAACCAUAACGGUCCUAAGGUAGCGAAAUUCCUUGUCGGGUAAGUUCCGACCCGCACGAAAGGCGUAAUGAUUUGGAUACUGUCUCGGAGAGGGGCUCGGUGAAAUAGACUUGUCUGUGAAGAUGCGGACUACCUGCACCAGGACAGAAAGACCCUAUGAAGCUUUACUGUAACUUGAGAUUGAAAUUGGACUUUACUUGCGCAGUAUAGGUGGGAGGCGUUGAUAAUAUUCUUGCGGGAUUAUUUGAGCCAUCAGUGAGAUACCACUCUUGUAAUGUUAGAUUUCUAACUUUGUAUCAUUAUCUGGUCAAAGGACAGUUUCAGGCGGGCAGUUUGACUGGGGCGGUCGCCUCCUAAACGGUAACGGAGGCGCACAAAGGUUUCCUCUGAACGGGUAGAAAUCGUAUCUAGAGUGUAAAGGCAUAAGGAAGCUUGACUGUGAGACCUACAAGUCGAGCAGGGACGAAAGUCGGUCUUAGUGAUCUGACGGUGCUGAGUGGAAAGGCCGUCACUCAACGGAUAAAAGUUACUCUAAGGAUAACAGGCUGAUCUCCCCCAAGAGUUCACAUCAACGGGGAGGUUUGGCACCUCGAUGUCGGCUCAUCGCAUCCUGGGGCGGUAGUACGUCCCAAGGGUUGGGCUGUUCGCCCAUGAAAGCGGUACGCGAGCUGGGUUCAGAACGUCGUGAGACAGUUCGGUCCAUAUCCGGUGUAGGCGUUAGAAUAUUGAGAGGAGCCUUCUUUAGUACGAGAGGACCGAGAAGGACAUACCUCUGGUGUACCAGUUAUCGUGCCAACGGUAAACGCUGGGUAGCUAUGUAUGGAGUGGAUAACCGCUGAAAGCAUCUAAGUGGGAAGCCCACCUCAAGAUAAGUAUUCU
rnacentral:rRNA from 1 species